UAAACAGCUCUUUUAAUCAGAAAAAGUUCAGGCAUUAUAGUAUAAAUGAAAGAAUCUCAGUCAAAAAAGCUCAACAUUCGACUAUCUGGACAGCAAUAGAGCAUGCACUCAAAGUGAAAAGAAAAUGACAUGAUGCUUAAACAAUGUUUUAAAGUCCCCCCUGCCACCCAUUUUAGGGGGAGGGGGCAUGGGGAGGAGCUUGGAUGAUGAAAGUAAGAGCAUCUCAAGGGUGGAUGAAGACAUUAAAAGGCCCUCCAGACUAAGACUCCACCAUGAGCACCUUUCACCUUGCACUUCCCCGACCCUGCUUCCCUUGUCCAGGACUACCAACAGGAUGCUGGACCAGGCUGAGCUGGACAGCCAUAGCCAGGUAGCCAGUUGAAUCCCUCUCCAGUGAUAACAAAGGUCUGGAGUCUCAGAGGGCUUUUCCUAGGACAAGACGUACCUCCAGAUCAAGAAAUUAUUUCAGCUGUGGCAUGAUCAACAAGUUCUGGAGCGGAAGGAAACCUUUCUAAACCACAAAUAACAAAAAACAUCUAUCUAUUAUGUCAGAAGACAAAGUUGUCUUUCUAUUCUCUGUACAUAAAAUGGCAUUGUAAAAUUUUUACCAUGUGAAAAAAGAUCAAUGAGUAUAACGCCAAAAAUAUAGGGAAAAGAUGUAUUACAUAGAUGGGUCAGCACUUAAGUUGUAAUUGUAGCAAAAAUUGUUAAUUAAAAC
rnacentral:lncRNA from 1 species